UGCCGGUACUAAUGAUGCUCAUACUAAUCUGCUAGCUAUCAUUAAAGUUAAAUAUUUAAUGCUUAAUAGAUAUUGAUAAUGUUGGUAUUUAUAUACUAAACCAUCAUUAAAGUUUUAUAUAUAUUUAAAAUAAUAGCUCAGCUUGUGUAAGGAUCUUCAUUCGCCACGUGGAUGUUAACAUAAUAAUAUUAAUAUUAAUAUACUGUCCAUUAUUAAAGUUU
rnacentral:lncRNA from 1 species